rnacentral:rRNA from 1 species
UUCGCCCUUAGAGUUUGAUCCUGGCUCAGGACGAACGCUGGCGGCGUGCUUAACACAUGCAAGUCGAGCGGGCCCUUCGGGGUCAGCGGCAGACGGGUGAGUAACGCGUGGGAACGUGCCCUUCGGUUCGGAAUAACCCUGGGAAACUAGGGCUAAUACCGGAUACGCCCCUUGGGGGAAAGGUUUACUGCCGAAGGAUCGGCCCGCGUCUGAUUAGCUAGUUGGUGAGGUAACGGCUCACCAAGGCGACGAUCAGUAGCUGGUCUGAGAGGAUGAUCAGCCACACUGGGACUGAGACACGGCCCAGACUCCUACGGGAGGCAGCAGAAGGG